UCAGGAUGAACGCUAGCGUACAGGCUAACACAUGCAAGUCAGGGGCAGCAUGUGGUGCUUGCACCAAUGAUGGCGACCGGCGCACGGGUGAGUAACGCGUAUCCAACUCCCCCACAGUAGAGGAUAGCCCGGCGAAAGUCGGAUUAAUACUCUAUGUUGUAUUUUGAGGACAUCUGACGAAUACCAAAGAUUUAUCGCUAUGGGAUGGGGGAUGCGUCUGAUUAGGGUAGUCGGCGGGGUAACGGCCCACCGAGCCAUCGAUCAGUAGGGGUUCUGAGAGGAAGGUCCCCCACAUUGGAACUGAGACACGGUCCAAACUCCUACGGGAGGCAGCAGUGAGGAAUAUUGGUCAAUGGGCGAGAGCCUGAACCAGCCAAGUAGCGUGCAGGAUGACGGCCCUAUGGGUUGUAAACUGCUUUUAUGCGGGGAUAAAGUGAGGGACGUGUCCCUUAUUGUAGGUACCGCAUGAAUAAGGACCGGCUAAUUCCGUGCCAGCCGCCGC
rnacentral:rRNA from 1 species